rnacentral:rRNA from 1 species
GCGGCAUGCUUUACACAUGCAAGUCGAACGGUAACAGGGAGCUUGCUCCGCUGACGAGUGGCGAACGGGUGAGUAAUGCGUCGGAACGUGCCGAGCAGUGGGGGAUAACGCCUCGAAAGGUGUGCUAAUACCGCAUACGGACUGAGGUAGAAAGUGGGGGACCUUCGGGCCUCACCCUAUUCGAGCGGCCAACGUCAUAUUAGCUAGUUGGGGAAGUAAAGGCUCGCCAAGGCGACGAUUCCUAGCUGGUUUGAGAGGAUGAUCAGCCACACUGGAACUGAGACACGGUCCAGAAUCCUACGGGAGGCAGCAGUGGGGAAUAUUGGACAAUGGGCGCAAGCCUGAUCCAGCCAUGCCGCGUGUGUGAAGAAGGCCUUCGGGUUGUAAAGCACUUUCAGCGAGGAGGAAGGGUUGUGUGUUAAUAGUACACAGCUUUGACGUUACUCGCAGAAGAAGCACCGGCUAACUCUGUGCCAGCCGCCGCCGUAAAAC